CUCUCUGGGCUCCUCUCCCUCCGAGAGAGCAUGGACGUUGCCUGCUGGCUAAGGUUUCAUCGCUGCUUUUCCUUCCAAAAUCAUUUUCACUUCAAACGAGGAAGAAGCUGGAAGUCCAGUCUGGGUGGGGUGGGUCCCAGAAAUGAGGGAGGGGGUUGAGGUCGGGUCCACAUGUGCCCUCCUCGCCUUUCUCUGUCCCACAUUUGGGACGUGAACCAGGAAAUUCCACCCUGGAAGGGUACAGGCCAGAAGGAGGGUGUGGCCUAGCGGGCCCUUACAGUGAGCCAGGGCAUGUGGCUUCAAUUCCUGCCUCCCCCACUGACUUAUUUAACCAUGUCCUGCCCUGAGCCUUGGCUUCCUCCCUGUGAAACAGAGACACUUGAAGAGCAGAGGGCUUCCAGGCUGGCUCAGGACCUUUGCACUGUCCGGCCCGAUGUUCUGGUUGCCAUUGGUGAUCCCGAGGGAUGUGCCAUCUCUGAGAUCCAUCUUAAAGGUUUGUAACAGAAUUAUUAAAGCAUGAUUCAACAGUGUGAUGUGACAGCUAAAGAAAGCUAAUGAUUUUGUGCCUUUAAAGAAUAUGGUGUCCAGAAGGAAGCUGAUCAUCCCACUGUCCUUCAUCUUGAUUAGACUCCAUUUGAAAUAGUGCAUGUUCAUUUUUGGAUACCACAUGGCACUAAGGAUGUUGACAAAUAGAAAUGUGUCCAGAAGAGGACCUCCAGGAUGUCAGGGGGACUGGAAACAUGCUAUAAAAGCAUUGAUCAAAGGAAGUGGAGAUGUUUAUUUUGAAGAAGAGAAGGUUUGAAAAUGAGAGGGAAGAGUGGUCAUGACAGUAUGCAGUGCAUGGUUUUGUAACUUUAAUAGAGUUUCCAUGUAAUGUUUUAUAUUAUGAUACCCCAUUCUCCAUCAGGCUGUAAACUCCAUGAGAGUAGACAUCAAUGUUCUAUCCAAGCCAUUUAUCUUCCCUAGAGCACAGUAUUAUGCCCUACACACAGUUGGCGUUUAAUAAAU
rnacentral:lncRNA from 1 species